CACCUCCUUUUGGUACCUGCACCCUCAUUCUGCUUCGAGAGCUAGCCCUCUCCUGUUCCGUGCAGUCUUGGCGAGAGUGUCAAGCAAAGAACCCUGGUCCCCAGCUGAGAGCUGGACUCAUGCCUGAGGCAUGGCCGGGCUGACUCUCCAGCGGUUUGACUCCUGAGCAGAGGGACGAAGGUGAAAGAAGACGCCUUAUGUGGCUCCAGAGGACUGUCAGAGCUGUUCAUUCAUUCCUGCUCUGGGCUCCCGCACAGCCCUGGUUACUGGACCCUGAGGCAUCCUGGCAUCCCGUACUCCCAACAAUCUUGUAAAGUACGCUGGAGUUGCACUGACUCCAGUGCUCGUAGCAACAAACGGCGGCUGACAGCAUGUCCUGGGAGUCAGAGGGUAAAAUAGGUUCCUUGACAUUUUCAACUUGAUGAGAGCUUUCCUGCCUGCGGUCUGAAAAAGGCUAGUCAGGAAUGAAGCCACUGGAACCAAGUCAACAAGAUAAUGUAGACAGAAGAAUGAACAGGGCACUGGCCUCAAGCUCACGGGGCGUUCACAGGAGCAUGUGACUUCUCACCACCAUAGAAGGCCAGCUGCUGGAAGUGGUUACCAAGAGCCAAAAGUUUCCAGUGAGGCUUAUCCAAGGGAUGGAAAGAAAGGAGAUCAGAGCAAAAACGAACGAGCGAAAACAGGAGGCGUGUUCUACACAAUGCCCAUCACAGCAGCUGACGUUUAGCCUCCGCAGAAUUGUUUUCUGAGUGGUGCCUCUGCCGUGGCUUCUCAGUGGAUUAAACAGGAUUUAAGUCUCUGAGGACUCCUCCGAGUUGCUCGCUCCCAGCCAACCAUAGCUGAUAAAAAGGGGAAUUUUCACCAACACCGUACCGUAGUUGAUAGCUUGAGAUUCCGUUUAAAACAUUUUUUUAUUGUGGCAAGAUGUACGUGACAAAAUUUGCCAUGUUAAGCGUGCAGUCCAGUGGCCUCAAGCACAUUCACAUUGUUGUGUAACCAUCACCACUGUCCUCCAGAACUUUUUCAUCUCCCCAAAGCGAAACUCUGUUCCCAAAAACACUCACUCGCCAGCCCCGCCCCAGCCCCUGGCAACCACCAUUCCACUCUCUGUCUCUGUGAAUUUUCCUCUUCUAGGUAUCUUAUAUAAGUGGGGUCAUACAAUAUUUGUCCUUUUGUGUCUGGCUUAUUUCACUUAGCGUAACGUGUUCAAGGUUCAUCCAGAGAUUAUUUCUGAUCAAAUAUAUCCAUGUCACAAUGGAAUUAGGUCCGUAAACGUGUCGGUCUCAUUUCAGUUAAACAAACACGCAGGUGACAGAGUGCGCUGCGUUUCCCUGGAGCCUCCAGACAGUCCUGUGGGGUGGGUUGGUCUGGGGGGGCACACAUUUAGUCCUGCUGUCAGCAACAGCAUCCUCCUAGAUGCUCAGUCCAGAAACGUGGGUGCCACUGUGACUCUUUCCUCUUCCUACCCGGACGUUUAAUUGCCCAGUAAAUCUUACUGAUUCCACUUCUCAGAUGGCUCCCUAAAUCCUCCUCCUCCAUCACUGAACUAGGCUCAGUUCAGAUCACCAUCUACUCCCACUUGGAUCAGUGUCAAAGCCUCCCAAGCUGCCUCCCUGGGUAUCGCUGCCGUCAGUCACUAUUUCAUCGAUUCGUUCAACAAAUAGCAUACGGCGUGAACAUUUCUCGUCAGGCACUGAGCCGGCCUGUAAAGUUACAGAGUCUUCUGAACAGGGUUUUGAGCUGUUUGUCUCAAAUAAAUCUGAUUUUACACGCGUAUAUCUGAUUCUUAAACCCUGACUUUCCCAGUCCUCUCACUGCCUUC
rnacentral:lncRNA from 1 species